UACAGAGGUCUCAACCGUUGUUCGGAUUCAUUGGGCGUAAAGGGUGCGUAGGCGGUCGCGCAAGUCGGAUGUGAAAUCUCAGGCUCAACCCUGAAACUGCAUUCGAUACUGCGCGGCUAGAGUGCUGGAGGGGAGACUGGAAUUUACGGUGUAGCAGUGAAAUGCGUAGAUAUCGUAAGGAAGACCAGUGGCGAAGGCGAGUCUCUGGACAGCAACUGACGCUGAGGCACGAAGGCCAGGGGAGCAAACGGG
rnacentral:rRNA from 1 species